rnacentral:rRNA from 1 species
GACGAACGCUGGCGGCGUGCUUAACACAUGCAAGUCGAACGGUAAGGCUCCAGCUUGCUGGGGUACACGAGUGGCGAACGGGUGAGUAACACGUGGGUGACCUGCCCUGCACUUCGGGAUAAGCCUGGGAAACUGGGUCUAAUACCGGAUAGGACCGCACCGUGAGGGUGUUGUUGAAAGUUUUUUCGGUGUGGGAUGGGCCCGCGGCCUAUCAGCUUGUUGGUGGGGUAAUGGCCUACCAAGGCGGCGACGGGUAGCCGGCCUGAGAGGGUGGACGGCCACAUUGGGACUGAGACACGGCCCAGACUCCUACGGGAGGCAGCAGUGGGGAAUAUUGCACAAUGGGCGGAAGCCUGAUGCAGCGACGCCGCGUGGGGGAUGACGGCCUUCGGGUUGUAAACUCCUUUCACCAUCGACGAAGGGUUUCUGACGGUAGAUGGAGAAGAAGCACCGGCUAACUACGUG